CGCGCGGUAAAACCAGCACCUCAAGUGGUCAGGAUGAUUAUUGGGCCUAAAGCAUCCGUAGCCUGCUCUGUAAGUUUUCGGUUAAAUCCAUACGCUCAACGUAUGGGCUGCCGGAAAUACUGCAGAGCUAGGGAGUGGGAGAGGUAGACGGUACUCGGUAGGAAGGGGUAAAAUCCUUUGAUCUAUGGAUGACCACCUGUGGCGAAGGCGGUCUACCAGAACACGUUCGACGGUGAGGGAUGAAAGCUGGGGGAGCAAACCGGAUUAGAUACCCGGGUAGUCCCAGCUGUAAACUAUGCAAACUCGGUGAUGCAUUGGCUUGUGGCCAGUGCAGUGCCGCAGGGAAGCCGUUAAGUUUGCCGCCUGGGAAGUACGUACGCAAGUAUGAAACUUAAAGGAAUUGGCGGGGGAGCACCACAAGGGGUGAAGCCUGCGGUUCAAUUGGAGUCAACGC
rnacentral:rRNA from 1 species